ACUUGAGCUGAUUAACAACUAGUUACGUCCUUUACAUCAUGCACAAAAUAAAGAAGAUAAAGAAAUAAAUUAACAAUUAACCAUGCAUAAGACUUUCUAUUGACUGUAGUAGCAGUGUACGUAUAUCAAACUUACAGCCAGAUACUUGCUAAAACCUAGGUCUAGAAGAAUUAUAGGUCUAUGCCCAUGUUAGGUAUUGUGCACAGCAAAUUAUAAAGACCAGCAAGCCAAGCAACGGCACAGAUUUUCCUUCUACAUGCAGAUCAUUUUCUCAUAUCCUUCCUUGUUUUUUCUCCGUAUUCAUAAUAUAUAUAUAUAUACAA
rnacentral:misc_RNA from 1 species